rnacentral:rRNA from 1 species
CAAAAACAUGUCUUUUUGAUAAUAAUUUAAAGUCUAAUCUGCCCACUGAUAGAAUAUUAAAGGGCUGCAGUAUAUUGACUGUACAAAGGUAGCAUAAUCAUUAGUCUUUUAAUUGAAGACUUGUAUGAAAGAUUUGAUGAAAUAUAAACUGUCUCUAAUUUAUGUUUAGAAAUUAAUUUUUUAGUUAAAAAGCUAAAAUAAAGUUAAAAGACGAGAAGACCCUAUAGAGUUUUAUAUUUUGAUUAAUUAUUAUUAAAUAUAUAAUUAAAUAUAAUAAUUAAUUAAAAUAUUUUGUUGGGGUGAUAGAAAAAUUUAAUAAACUUUUUUUAAAAUUUGAACAUAAAUAAGUGAAUAAUUGAUCCAUUAAUAAUGAUUAAAAGAAAAAAUUACCUUAGGGAUAACAGCGUAAUAUUUUUUUUUAGUACAAAUAAAAAAAAAAGUUUGCGACCUCGAUGUUGGAUUAAGAUAAAAUUUAAAUGCAAAAGUUUAAAAUUUUGAUCUGUUCGAUCAUUAAAAUCUUACAUGAUCUGAGUU